GAUGAACGCUGGCGGCGUGCCUAAUACAUGCAAGUCGAGCGAACAGACGAUGAGCUUGCUCCUCUGACGUUAGCGGCGGACGGGUGAGUAACACGUGGAUAACCUACCUAUAAGACUGGGAUAACUUCGGGAAACCGGAGCUAAUACCGGAUAAUAUAUUGAACCGCAUGGUUCAAUAGUGAAUGACGGUUUUGCUGUCACUUAUAGAUGGAUCCGCGCCGCAUUAGCUAGUUGGUAAGGUAACGGCUUACCAAGGCAACGAUGCGUAGCCGACCUGAGAGGGUGAUCGGCCACACUGGAACUGAGACACGGUCCAGACUCCUACGGGAGGCAGCAGUAGGGAAUCUUCCGCAAUGGGCGAAAGCCUGACGGAGCAACGCCGCGUGAGUGAUGAAGGUCUUCGGAUCGUAAAACUCUGUUAUUAGGGAAGAACAAAUGUGUAAGUAACUAUGCACGUCUUGACGGUACCUAAUCAGAAAGCCACGGCUAACUACGUG
rnacentral:rRNA from 1 species